GAUGAACGCUAGCGGCAGGCUUAAUACAUGCAAGUCGUGGGGCAGCAGGGGUAGCAAUACCCGCUGGCGACCGGCAAACGGGUGCGGAACACGUACGCAACCUUCCUUUAACUGGAGAAUAGCCCCUCGAAAGAGGGAUUAAUACUCCGUAACAUAUUGAUAAGGCAUCUUAUUAAUAUUAUAGCUCCGGCGGUUAAAGAUGGGCGUGCGACUGAUUAGAUAGUUGGCGGGUAACGGCCCACCAAGUCUGCGAUCAGUAACUGGUGUGAGAGCACGACCAGUCACACGGGCACUGAGACACGGGCCCGACUCCUACGGGAGGCAGCAGUAAGGAAUAUUGGUCAAUGGACGCAAGUCUGAACCAGCCAUGCCGCGUGGAGAUUAAGGCCCUCUGGGUGUAAACU
rnacentral:rRNA from 1 species